rnacentral:rRNA from 1 species
UACGGAGGGUGCAAGCGUUAUCCGGAUUCACUGGGUUUAAAGGGUGCGUAGGUGGGCAGUUAAGUCAGUGGUGAAAUCUCCGGGCUCAACCCGGAAACUGCCUUGAUACUAUCUGUCUUGAAUAUCGUGGAGGUAAGCGGAAUAUGUCAUGUAGCGGUGAAAUGCUUAGAUAUGACAUAGAACACCAAUUGCGAAGGCAGCUUACUACCCGAAUAUUGACACUGAGGCACGAAAGCGUGGGGGAUCAAAACAGG